UCUCCCCCUUUUUGAUGAUGACAAAACUUUGAGUAUAUGUAAAAUGAAUUGCUCAAUAAGUAAUGAAAUAAAAUCCAUAAAUGAAUUCAAAUGUCUGAAAAAUUUAAUUUAUCCAAGUUUGAAAGGUGUGAAACAUUUAAAUUUCGGAGUUAAAGCUCCCCCUUUCAUUUGGAAUUAUAUAAGCCUUCAUAUUAUGCAAUCAAUUGUUUGGCUUAUAUGUUAUUAAUGAUUUAUCUUGAUUAAAAUUCAGAUUCUCCCCCUCAACAUAUGCAUUCAACUAGUUUUGAUUUUCUGAAUUUCCUUUUAAUGCUUUGAAAUUUUUGAACUGAAUUUUUGUUUUUAGAGGGAAAAUCUGUCAAUUUGUUCUUGAGUACGAUUCAGCUAAUCUCCGAAUAUUCCUUGAAUAGAUUCUGGAGAUUACUCCAUUAGGAGCUCCAAAAGACAGAUAAUGAGCCUCGAGGUACCGAAUCCACUGAGAACAAAUUUGUGUGUGUUUUUAAGAGUUCUUUUACAUAUUUUAUCCAUAUUUCUCCCCUUUUUACAUAUUUUAUACAUAUUUCUCCCCCUUUUUGUCAUCAUAUCAAAAAGGAGGCACUCACACACAAUCAAUGGCACAAAUGGCACAAUCAAACAUCAAAUGGCACAGUCAAUUGGCACAGAAAU
rnacentral:lncRNA from 1 species